CCUACGGGAGGCAGCAGUAGGGACUUUUGCGCAAUGGGCGAAAGCCUGACGCCGCAACGCCGCGUGAUCGAGACGCCCUUCGGGGUGUAAAGAUCUGUCAGUGGGGACGAACCUUGACGGUACCCACAGAGGGUGCACCGGCUAACUCCGUGCAAGCAGCAGCGGUAAUACGGGGGGUGCAAGCGUUGUCCGGAAUCAUUGGGCGUAAAGAGUUCGUAGGCGGCACGUAAAGUCUGGUGUUAAAGUCAGAGGUUCAACUUCAGUACGGAAGUGGAUACUUGCGAGCUAGAAUGCGGUAGAGGUAAAGGGAAUUCGUUGUGUAGCGGUGAAAUGCUUAGAUAUCAGGAGGAACAUCGGUGGCGUAGGCGCUUUACUGGGCCGUAAUUGACGCUGAGGAACGAAAGCCAGGGUAGCAAAUGGGAUUAGAUACCCCAGUAGUC
rnacentral:rRNA from 1 species